rnacentral:rRNA from 1 species
GAUGAACGCUGGCGGCGUGCUUAACACAUGCAAGUCGAACGAAGCACCUUGAUUCGAUUCUUCGGUUGAAGAUCUUGGUGACUGAGUGGCGGACGGGUGAGUAACGCGUGGGUAACCUGCCUCAUACAGGGGGAUAACAGUUAGAAAUGACUGCUAAUACCGCAUAAGACCACAGCACCGCAUGGUGCAGGGGUAAAAACUCCGGUGGUAUGAGAUGGACCCGCGUCUGAUUAGGUAGUUGGUGGGGUAACGGCCUACCAAGCCGACGAUCAGUAGCCGACCUGAGAGGGUGACCGGCCACAUUGGGACUGAGACACGGCCCAAACUCCUACGGGAGGCAGCAGUGGGGAAUAUUGCACAAUGGGGGAAACCCUGAUGCAGCGACGCCGCGUGAGCGAUGAAGUAUUCCGGUAUGUAAAGCUCUAUCAGCAGGGAAGAAAAUGACGGUACCUGACUAAGAAGCACCGGCUAAAUACGUG